rnacentral:ncRNA from 2 species
ACAUACUCUGGUGCCGAUGGUUCCCAAAAUAUGGGAUGAAAAGGGAAUCCGGAGCGUUGCCCGAGAUGGGCCGCGACACCGGAGCUGCCCCCGCAACUGUGACCGGAGAGCCGCCACCAAAUGCCACUGGAUUUCGAUCCGGGAAGGCGGUGCCGGCUGUGACCCGCGAGCCAGGAGACCUGCCAUCGCCUGUGACUGACG